UGGGGAAUUUUGCACAAUGGGGGAAACCCUGAUGCAGCGACGCCGCGUGAUUUAGAAGGCCUUCGGGUUGUAAAAAUCUUUUUUACGGGAUGAAAAUGACAGUACCGUAAGAAUAAGGUCCGGCUAAAUACGUGCCAGCAGCCGCGGUAAUACGUAUGGACCGAGCGUUGUCCGGAAUCAUUGGGCGUAAAGGGUACGUAGGCGGCCUAGUAAGUUAGAAGUGAAAUAAUAUAGCUCAACUAUAUAAAGCUUUUAAAACUGCUAGGCUUGAGAGAUGGAAGAGAAAGUGGAAUUCCUAGUGUAGCGGUGAAAUGCGCAGAUAUUAGGAAGAAUACCGGUGGCGAAGGCGACUUUCUGGUCAUCAUCUGACGCUGAGGUACGAAAGCGUGGGUAGCAAACAGG
rnacentral:rRNA from 1 species